UUCUAGGACAGAUAACCGGAUCCACCACCAUGCGCGUUGCGUUCACCAGCAGAAACCCAUUCCUCUCACCAUUUACUGUAGCCAUCGUGCACCAUUGUUUAUCCUCAUCUGUAGCAGCAGCUGGCAUGUGUUCCCGACUCUCUCCCUCCGUUGCAGCCGCCGCGCGUUCCCAACCUCCACUACUCGCCUCAAGCCGCACGGCAACGUAUGAGACAUCCACCGGGCUGGGUGUCGACUCCUCGGUGUCCAGACAACAGAAGCGGGAAAGGACACUGUGCCUCCGAUCCACAGGCCCACUGGCGAGUGUUACAGAGAAGUACUACACUACCCACAGUCCUCAAGUGUAACAGCAACGUGCCAAUACUGACACCAAGUACAGGAACAGCUUCACAUCUCUGGGAAGACCACUUGCUACUUCACCACCUGGACACCCAAGCAGUGUGUGAUGAUACCCAUCUCAAGUGAUGACUUCUGGCAACAUACUUUGGUGAUCUUGAAGUCCUUCUACAAGGAUCACAUGCUGUCAGACUAAAACUUUGUUUGUAAAUAGUUAAUAAUAUUAAUUUCUCUGAUCUGUUCACCUUUGUACAUCCUAGAGGAUAUCCAUUUUUCAAUGUAGUUUUUCUACAGAUGUUCCAAUGGUGUAUUUCUUAUUUUAUUUGAACCUAAUGAUCCAAAAUAUUAAAGAAAUCUAUCCUUCA